AGAGUUUGAUCCUGGCUCAGGAUGAACGCUGGCGGCGUGUCUAAGGCAUGCAAGUCGAGUGCACUUCGGGUGCACGGCAGACGGGAGCGUAACACAUUGGUAAUUCACCCCUAAGAGAAGAAUAACUCUCCGAAAGGAGGGCUAAUACUUCAUGUGCUCGUUGUACUUAUGUAUGACGCGUAAAGGUUUACUGCUUAGGGAGAAGCCUAUGACCUAUCAGCUUGUUGGUGAGGUAAUGGCCCACCGAGGCUAUGACGGGUACCGGGUGUGAGAGCAUGACCCGGCUCAAUGGGACUGAGACACUGCCCAUACUUCUACGGAAGGCUGCAGUCGAGAAUAUUCCACAAUGGCCGCAAGGCUGAUGGAGCGACGCCGCGUGCAGGAAGAAGCCCUUCGGGGUGUAAACUGCUUUUUUUUAGGGACGAACAAAUGACGCUACCUAGAGAAUAAGAGGCUGCUAACUUCGUGCCAGCAGCAGCGGUAAUACGAAGGCCUCAAGCGUUAUCCGGAAUUAUUGGGCGUAAAGCGUCCGCAGGCGGUUUGGAAAGCGUGUCGUUAAAUUUCAGGGCUCAACCCCGAAACAGCGAUGCGAACUUCCAGACUAGAGUGUGGGAAAGGCAUCUGGAAUUGUCGGUGUAGUAGUAAAAUGCGUUAAUAUCGACAGGAACACCAAAAGCGAAAGCAUGAUGCUGGAACACUACUGACGCUCAGGGACGAAAGCGUGGGGAGCGAAUCGGAUUAGUUACCCGAGUAGUCCACGCCGUAAACGAUGCAUACUAGACAUUGGGAGUAUCGACCCUCUCAGUGUCGUUUAACCAAGCUAACGCGUUAAGUAUGCCGCCUGGGGAGUACGGUCGCAACACUAAAACUCAAAGGAAUUGACGGGGACCCGCACAAGCGGUGGAGCAUGUGGUUUAAUUCGACGGUAAGCGAGGAACCUCACCCAGUCUUGACAUGUAGCUGCAAGCUUCUAGAGAUAGAGGCCGCCUUCGAGGGUGCUACACUGGUGCUGCAUGGCUGUCGUCAGCUCGUGGCGUGAGCUGUACGGUUAAGUCCGGUAACGAGCGCAACCCUCGUGCUGUGUUGAUUAUUUCACAGCAGACUGCCUGCGAAAGUAGGAGGAAGGAGAGGAUGACGUCAAGUCAGCAUGGCUCUUACGACUGGGGCCACACACGUGCUACAAUGGCUAGGACAAUGCGUUGCCAACCCGCGAGGGGGAGCUAAUCGCAACAAACCUAGUCUCAGUUCGGAUUGGAGUCUGCAACUCGACUCCAUGAAGCUGGAAUCGCUAGUAACCGCAAAUCAGCCACGUUGCGGUGAAUACGUUCUCGGGUCUUGUACACACCGCCCGUCAAGCCAAGAGAGUUGGGGGCACCCGAAUGACGGAGGAUUCUGUCAGAAGGUGAAACCAAUGAUAGGGGCUAAGUCGUAACAAGGCA
rnacentral:rRNA from 1 species